AGUGAACGCUGGCGGUAGACCUAACACAUGCAAGUCGAACGGCAGCACAGUAAGAGCUUGCUCUUACGGGUGGCGAGUGGCGGACGGGUGAGGAAUACAUCGGAAUCUACUUUUUCGUGGGGGAUAACGUAGGGAAACUUACGCUAAUACCGCAUACGACGUACGGGUGAAAGCAGGGGAUCUUCGGACCUUGCGCGAUUGAAUGAGCCGAUGUCGGAUUAGCUAGUUGGCGGGGUAAAGGCCCACCAAGGCGACGAUCCGUAGCUGGUCUGAGAGGAUGAUCAGCCACACUGGAACUGAGACACGGUCCAGACUCCUACGGGAGGCAGCAGUGGGGAAUAUUGGACAAUGGGCGCAAGCCUGAUCCAGCCAUACCGCGUGGGUGAAGAAGGCCUUCGGGUUGUAAAGCCCUUUUGUUGGGAAAGAAAAGCAGCAGGUUAAUACCCCGCUGUUCUGACGGUACCCAAAGAAUAAGCACCGGCUAACUUCGUG
rnacentral:rRNA from 1 species